UACGGAGGUGGCAAGCGUUGUUCGGAAUUACUGGGCGUAAAGGGCGCGUAGGCGGCUAGGCAAGUCAGAUGUGAAAGCCCCGGGCUUAACUCGGGAAUUGCAUCUGAAACUGCUGGGCUUGAGUUCUGGAGGGGGUAGUGGAAUUCCCAGUGUAGCGGUGAAAUGCGUAGAUAUUGGGAGGAACACCUGCGGCGAAGGCGGCUACCUGGACAGAAACUGACGCUGAGGCGCGAAAGCGUGGGGAGCAAACAGG
rnacentral:rRNA from 1 species